UACGUAGGUGGCAAGCGUUGUCCGGAUUUAUUGGGUUUAAAGGGUGCGUAGGCGGUCCUAUAAGUCAGUGCUGAAAUAUCCCGGCUUAACCGGGAGGGUGGCAUUGAUACUGCAGGACUUGAGUGAAGUCGAGGUAGGCGGAAUUGACGGUGUAGCGGUGAAAUGCUUAGAUAUCGUCAAGAACACCGAUAGUGAAGACAGCUUACUAGACUUCAACUGACGCUGAGGCACGAAAGUGUGGGGAUCAAACAGG
rnacentral:rRNA from 1 species